ensembl:lncRNA
CAAACAUUUCCUCCCACUGCUUGUGCCUGGGAAGGCCACAUGGCUCAACUCCAAGGUGGGGGUGGAGGGGUCCUUCUGACAUAAUUUUGAUCUUUUCACCUUUUAGGUCUUUUUUCCUCCCUGUAAAAUAAGGAAAGGGUCUGUAUCCGUCCAGGUAGAUCAGGUUAUGCUAAGGUAACAAAUGAGCCACAGAUCUCAAGGGCAUAAAAAAAACAAAGGCUUAUUUCUCACUGCUUCUGUGUAUCCUUGAAGGGUCUGCUGGAGCUCUGCGACGUGCCGUCUGCAUUCUGGGGCCCAGUGAUGGAACAGCUUCACACGGGAACUUGACCAGUUGUCCUGGCAGGAAGGAAAGGGAGACAUUUCCGCUUGAAGGUGACAGCCCCUUCUGCUCCCAUUUCAUUGGUCAGAGCAGGUCGUGUGGCCAAACCUGAGGUGCCGGAUGGAGGAGCACAGCCCAGGAGGGACUGUGUGCUGUGAUCUGACACGCGGUCCAGUUUUCUCGUCCCGCCUGGUUCCUGGGAGAGUCGGCAGAGAGCCUGCCGACUCCCCUGCCCUGUGGUACAGCACUGCCUCUGUCGGACCGCAGGCUCCCUCCACUGCCAGGGGCGUCGGGCUUCUCCACUGCCGAGAACGCGUCCUCACUCUGACGCCUCUUGCAGGGUGGCCUGGCUCUGCCCUGAGCUCGGGGCCCCGGCUCCUCAGUCUGUGGGCCAGAGGGUUCUCUGGAGGGUGUUUUGCAGUAACCCGAGUCUUAGGUACUCGUAGCUGUUUUUGUUUUUUGACAGUAGGGAUCUGGGGUGAGAGCCAUUUGCAGACAUCAGAUUAAAGUCACAGUUGUCUCAACUCUUGGGCUUGUCAGAGGUUUGAAAACUGACUCUUAGAGAGGGGUGUGUGUAACACAGCAGCACCAGAAUUGUUGGUUUGUGGGAUAUUUUUAUUUACAGAGCAUCCUGUGAAAUUGCUUUUGGAUAAGGCGCACAUGAGAGCAAUGGCCUUGGAGUUGAAAAACGUGGGGUCAGAUUUGUAUUUGGGCCUCACUCAAGUGUUGAACUUGGUCUGUUCACACUUCUUGAUUCUCAUCCACACGGCAGUUCACUAAGAUCACCACGAAGACGCACACACACACCUGCUGAGAAUCCCAGGUAAUCUACAGGUGGAAGGUCUUCCUGGAGGUCCAGCUCCCGUCCUCUGGGUUGGACGUCAUACAGAGGUGCCAUGAAUGGGGUUUCACUGCGGGGAGCGGAACAGGUAAUGAGUUGUUGUGACGUGUAAUUAUCGCCACGACUACCCGGGCCCUGGCUGAACUGGUUAGAUGGCCUGCUUGUUCUUAGCACUUCCUUUAACCGAUUAUUCUGAACAUGACUUUCUCUUUCCUUUUUGUUUUAGCCCAAGGCCCAGGCGUUCCUCUUUCUUCACUCACUAUUUUCAAUGAUGCAUGCUUUUUAUGUAUUUAUUUUUCUAGCUGUGCAGAGCUACAGUAUCAUCCGUUAAAAUACCGUCUUACAUUUCAUGUCCUAAACUGAUCUCCUGUUACAGUCGGGUUUAAGUGUAGAUUCUGAGGUGAGAAGUAGAAUGUACAGGUUGUCAGUCAUGUCUAGGAGACCUGGAGAUGUCCUUCUGUCUGAGCUUUUGGGAGCACACCUCCUCCUGGGUUCUUUACUCCAUGCUCUCACCCAUUGAUACCUUCUCUGUGUUCUGGUUUCCUGUUGCUGGAAGGUAGUCUCACAGUGUUGUGAGUCAGGAGUCACCGCUGGGUGUGAGCUCAGCUGGGUGAUUCCUGUGACCCAGGGGGCUGACUCGGGUCUCUCAGCUGACAGAGGGGCUGGUCUCCCUGGUCCAGCGCUACACAAAGGAGGCCAGAAGGUGAGUUCCACUGGUUCUGUUAGCUCAGCGCCUCCCGCAUGGCUCUGCAGCCUUGGGGCAGCCUGAGUGAGGGGUCCAGUAAUCCAGGUGGAAGCUUGUGUGGUCGAGCCUCUGACGUCAGAGGGCGUCCCUUCCACCAGGUUCCCUGGUCGGAGCACUCAGAAGCCCAUUCAGAUGCUCGGGGAGGCACACAGACCCCCUCUUCUGUGAGAAGGAUGGAAAGGAAGCCAUGGCUGUGUCUGUAACAUGGGGCUUUUUGUAGCCUUCCGGCCUAAGCCCUCUUCUCCACGUACACACUUGCCCCCGGUGAUGCCAUUGAGAAACCGUGGUUGAAUAGCAUCUUUCUACUGUGAUUCCCAAAAAUAUGCCUCUAGAUUGGAUGCUUCCCGAAGCUUAGAUUCUAAUGUUCAGCUGUCUACCAUGUCCUCCCCCCUGAUGCACAGUCACCUCAAACUUAAUGCAGUCUAGCACAGUUUUGUUUUGUUUUUCCCCAGGGCUCUUGGUUUAUACUCUGUAGACUGGUUGGUUCCAUGCCUAGCUUUCUCCAUCUCAGAAAAUGCCACCAACAUCCACCCAAAUCUGACAGCGAUCAAGUCCAGAGACCAGAACUAUCCCUAGAACCUCCUCAGGGCUGGUUUUCACAGGCUCCGUGAAAGGUGGACCCUGCACAGCUUACCCCACACCACCAAAUGGUCUUUCUGUAACCGGGCAUCAGGUGAAACUGGAAGUUUACAGCAUGAAAAUAAAGGUUUCAAAGAAAAGCCAUCUCCAGCCGAUGUCCCAGGUGAGUGUUUCAGUGUCUUUAAAGAUGUCUGUACAGUGUGCCCAAAGACCCUUCCUGUGCUUCAGUGAGAUCAUGGGAUUCAGGAAUGUUAGAACAGGAAGGGGCCCUCUCAAGUCAGGAUGACCUUGACCUACUUACUGUCACAGGUGAAAAGCAGAUGUUUGCAUGCUGGACUGAUGCCGUGUCAUAAAUACGGUGUCUUCACUUAAGGGAGGCUCUGUUUGAGACCAGUCUUCCUAUACAUUUUAGAAGACUUACGUACAGGUAAAUUAACACUAAGUUGUGAUCAUGGUCUUUCCUAUAAAGAGCUGGUCGUUAUGUCCAAGUAUUGCCUUAGACCUGUGGGAGAGUUGGCUGCACUUUCAUCCUUGCGGUGGCUCUGGCAGCUGCUGAGGGCUCUGAGACACUGGGGCUUGGGCUUGCUCGUGGAGAGGCCGCAGGUGAGGGAAUCAUGAGCGCCUGUGUGAGCCCUGAGCAAGGCCCCUCUUUCUUGAUGGGCAGCCCAUCCUCUCAGGGAGGAACACAGUUGAUUGCAGGUUCACCGUGACUGAGAAUAGAACUCACUUUGCACUGACGACAUUGAAAUCUGUCAUCUUAGGCACUGAAAACUCCUUCUCCCAACUUCUCUACAAAUGAAUGCCCUCUAACAUCCUG